rnacentral:lncRNA from 1 species
AAGGUAGAAGGUGGGGUCUGCCGGACGCGUGUUCCUGCCACCAGGUGCCCGCUCCCCGCGAGGCCGGCUCAGGAGCAGCAGGUAAGUCUUAGGCCAUCGCCUGCGGUGUCGGCCCCGGGAGCAGCGAGACCCAAGAUUGCAUCAAACGUUUGCCCCGUCUCUGCAUAUGUGACUGGACGUGAAUGAUGCUUCAUUUUGGCACCCCCUUUCCCUGCUCAGGUAGAAUGUAAACAAUUGAAAAAAAUCCCUUCCCAAUCAGAAUACCACCCACAGGACAACGAAGAAAACCUAUCUUCAGUCCCCACCCACGAAAUGCUGGGGGGUGGGGAGGACUGGAAAAGGAGUAAGGGGAGAGGAAGGGUGAGCAGCUGCAAGAAGUCUUUACACCUCUCUGCGGUUCCUGGUAAACGCGCUCAUGUCCUGGGUAUGGAAGGGACUUAAGAAUUCAGGAAAGAUCAAAAUAACGGGCCUCUUCCCCACUCCCUCGCCCUCCCUUCCCCGCUGCUGGGGGGUUAGGGAGGCUCCGUGGAGCUCCAGCACUCUAGAAGGAUCGGGUGAGGCGCGAGGCCUUGCGGGCGGGUGAACCCAAGGUGGGGUGGAAGGCUCCAACCCGCCCAAUCUGAGCCCGAGGCCUGCUGAGAAGCAUGGGGGCCUUGGGAUAGUUCCAGAAUGAGGAUGUGCGUUUCUAGCUGCUUUGCGCCCUCCUCCCCCAAAAAUCUGCUACCACAAUUCCAACCCGGCGGCACGCCCCCAAGACUCCUUUGUCGCCCCAGGGGCGGGACCUGAGCUGUCGAUUUCAGGAGCCCUUCGUGACUUCAAAAGUCCUGGGCACUGUUGCUCAUGAGUGCUGCACAACUGUCGCCCUCUAAAGCCACCUCCAUCCCUCACUGGGCUGGCCUCCUGAGCCUUCGGUGAGGAAACGGGGUUCCGAGUUGCCCGCCUGAGAGCUUAACAGUCUGACUAGAAAAGGGCUAAUUCGCUUUCUGUGCAAAUCUCUUGAGCUAAUUAUUUAAUCUGAAACAUGGACAGGUAAAGGACCAUUGGCGGGCGUGGGGAGGGAGGUGUGGAAUCUUUCCCACACUUUUUGUCACCUUAAAGAAAAAAAAAAGACACCCAAACUCCUCUGGUCUGAAUGGGCUGCCUGGAACUGGGCUUCCCGGGGCCAGGAGUGGGCCCCUAGAAGUUUCCCAGUUUGGGGUGGGGCCGGGGUUCCGAAGUCUAGAGCUGGGAGUCGGGUUCAGCGGCCCGAGACGCUGGCUCUCCCAGACUCCCUUGCGCCGGGGCAGUGCGCGGGGGCGGCUCGGGUCCCUCCCGGGCCGGCGGGGACCCUCAGGCUCCCGGGGCGCCGCCCACCAGCCCGACCCGGCGGCCUAGAAAUCCCCAUUCUGCUCCCGCCUCGCCCCGGCCGGCCAGCGCAGGGCCCCUCAGGCCCGCAAUCUCCAGGCUCAAACGGCGAACAGGUCCCCGCAUCCGCCUGCCUUUGCACUUGGGGGUGGGAGAGCCACCUUGUGACGCCCCUUCUGCCUCUCACCAGCUUCCCCCUUUCUCCCCGUCCUGUACGGUUCCCCCUGGAGCCAGAAGGAAGCCCGGUGCCAGCCAGCCUUCCUGAAAGACCAAGCCCGCGCCAUCCGGCUUCCUCCAGUGGACGCCUGCAGGACCCAGGAAUGUUUUUCUUGAAGGCAUCCAGCAUCUCCAGUUAGCAGUACUGAUUUUUUUUCCCCCCAACAAAGGAACACUACAUCAACACUGUUGGCGGGGACCUGGACACAGAAGACUCCUGUUUCAAGAAAAUACAAUCAUCUCUCAAAGGCUGUAAUUUAUAUGCAUUUUAAAACUCUAGGCAUUGAAAACCACCCAAGUGUCCCAAAUAGAAGGGUAAUAUAUAAUCAAUCACUCAGUGUAAUAUUAUACAUCCUUUAAAAAUGUUAUUGGGAAAUGUUUUAUGAUCUGUAAGUCCAAGGAAUCCUCUCCCACCAUUUCUUUCCCCCCGCUGUUCCCCCAUACCCACACUUCUUUGUUCCAAUUGGCAUGUAAAUUUGGUUUUCCCGCCAAAUGAGUCAGUCAUGAUGGGAACCUCAACUGAUUUGAACAGAUGUGUGUCAAUGUUACUUGGAAAACUAGAUGUCAAUAACCAGGGUCACAGAAAAAGGCAGUGGUCACAACUCUGUAAAAAUGUAUGCAUGCACACAGACAAGAACUAAAGUGGAACCCCACACAGGAAAACAGUGGGCUGUACUCCAGUGCUGGGACAUUGAAUGACUGUAUGCUGCUUUUGAUUUCCGUU